GGUCUCAUGGUGUAGCGGUAACACAUCUUCAGUUGAUAAUGGGCGCAGCUGUAUUUGAGGAAGUCCCUUGUUCGAACCAAGGUGAGGCCA